GGAUUGUGGCUCAGUGGUAGAGCGCUUGCCUAGCACAUGUGAGGCCCUGGGUUCAAUCCUCAGCACCA
rnacentral:tRNA from 1 species